rnacentral:lncRNA from 1 species
CACAAUAUUAGCACACUAACCCAAAAAAUAGCAAUUAAAAAUGCGUAUUAUUUUCAAAAUUAGUUCCUUAUAGUGUUGAAACUGAAAGGUAUUAUUGUCAAAAUGUUGAUUUUGAUUAUGGUAUAAAAUUAACUUUUGAUAUAAAAAGGUUUGUGUCUUUGUAAAUUUUUUAACGAAUUUCUGUAUAAAAUGGUACAUAUUAAGGUAUUUUGUUGGAUUAAAAUAUGGUG